GAAAACAAAUGAUCAGUUGAGAAGUUCAAGGCUCAGGCGCGAUGGGGCAGCCCUCUAUGAAUACAGGGGUCCUCGGAGCAGAUUGGCUAACAAAAGCAGGCUCUAAAAUGUCGGGAGAGGUGUAUCUCCUGUGGCUUCUCUCGCUUUUACAAACGCUGUCGGCGUAUGGUGCCGAUCUGUCGUCGGAGGCAUGCAGGGAGCUGGGCUUCUCCAGCAACCUGCUGUGCAGCUCCUGUGACCUGCUCGGGGAGUUCAGCCUCAACAAGCUCCAGCCUGACUGCGGGCAGUGCUGCCAGCAGGAGGCCCAGAUGGAAGCGCGCAAGCUCUACGCCGGGGCCAUCCUUGAGGUGUGUGGAUGAAAACUGGGGAGGUUCCCUCAAGUCCAAGCUUUUGUCAGGAGUGACAAGCCGAAGAUGUUCAAGGGUCUUCAGAUCAAGUACGUGAGAGGCUCCGAUCCUGUACUAAAGCUUUUGGACGAUAACGGGAACAUCGCUGAAGAACUCAGCAUCCUCAAGUGGAACACAGACAGCGUGGAGGAGUUCCUGAGUGAGAAAUUAGACCGAAUAUAGACAUGUGUAUGUUUUUGUUUUUGUAGUCUAAAGUUAAUUGGCCGAGUCACCCAAAUUAAAAUAGCUCUGGUGGUAUGUAGCCAUGCAGAUAUUUUCUGUUUCCUGUGCUUGAGAUUUCUGCUUCCACCUUCAUUUUUAAUCGGAAAGUCUUUGUAGUAAACAUCGACAGUAUUUCUGGAAAGAUUUGCAGCUGUACAUCUGAGCGCAACAACCAAUCGCGGCACAAAUCCUUUUGACAUCUCAAGACGGAUCUUUUCAGACUUGAGCUAAACUAUCUGCUUGGCUAGAGCUUGCUAGGGGCUACUGAGAAUUUGGGUGAGCCGACCCCGUUAGUUAUUUACCAAUUUGUACACAACUCGGCCUUGAGAGACGGUUGUGAAACCAUAUGACCGUUUUUGUAUCUGGAAAUAAUGAAUUUUACCAAAUAACUUCUGUGAGUGUGAGAAGACAUCGUCACAAAGCCCAGAAGGGCGGGACAUCGGAAGGAACCACCAACAUUACUGAUUAGGUUUGAAAAACAAUAAUGCACAUCAUUAGCCGAUUUGUCAACCUUUGGGAGUUUACAUCCCCCCCCCCCCCCCCCCCCCCCCCCCCCCUCCCCUGUCUGUCUAUUUCUGUAUGAUUAUUUUUUUAUACAACACUCAACAUUGUAUAUGAAGGGAUUUGUA